rnacentral:rRNA from 2 species
UGCAGUCGAGCGGAUGAAGGGAGCUUGCUCCUGGAUUCAGCGGCGGACGGGUGAGUAAUGCCUAGGAAUCUGCCUGGUAGUGGGGGAUAACGUCCGGAAACGGGCGCUAAUACCGCAUACGUCCUGAGGGAGAAAGUGGGGGAUCUUCGGACCUCACGCUAUCAGAUGAGCCUAGGUCGGAUUAGCUAGUUGGUGGGGUAAAGGCCUACCAAGGCGACGAUCCGUAACUGGUCUGAGAGGAUGAUCAGUCACACUGGAACUGAGACACGGUCCAGACUCCUACGGGAGGCAGCAGUGGGGAAUAUUGGACAAUGGGCGAAAGCCUGAUCCAGCCAUGCCGCGUGUGUGAAGAAGGUCUUCGGAUUGUAAAGCACUUUAAGUUGGGAGGAAGGGCAGUAAGUUAAUACCUUGCUGUUUUGACGUUACCAACAGAAUAAGCACCGGCUAACUUCGUGCCAGCAGCCGCGGUAAUACGAAGGGUGCAAGCGUUAAUCGGAAUUACUGGGCGUAAAGCGCGCGUAGGUGGUUCAGCAAGUUGGAUGUGAAAUCCCCGGGCUCAACCUGGGAACUGCAUCCAAAACUACUGAGCUAGAGUACGGUAGAGGGUGGUGGAAUUUCCUGUGUAGCGG